CUAAUUAAAGCUUUAUAGAAGUUUUUUAUUUACAUUAAAAGGAUUUAUUGUUUUAUCAAUAUAAUUAGA
rnacentral:tRNA from 1 species